rnacentral:antisense_RNA from 1 species
CUUGAGCGAGCCCAGCCACAACGGGCUGUCCUGGUCGCGUUCCUGGCCGUAUGUCGCAAGCAGUGCCUGCGCCUC